rnacentral:rRNA from 1 species
UACGUAGGGGGGCAAGCGUUUGUCCGGAAUCAUUGGGCGUAAAGCGCGUGUAGGCGGCCCGAUAAGUCCGCUGUGAAAGUCCAGGGCUCAACCCUGGAAUGCCGGUGGAUACUGUCGGGCUCGAGUCCGGAAGAGGCGAGUGGAAUUCCUGGUGUAGCGGUGAAAUGCGCAGAUAUCAGGAGGAACACCGAUGGCGAAGGCAGCUCGCUGGGACGGUACUGACGCUGAGACGCGAAAGCGUGGGGAGCAAACGGG